rnacentral:ncRNA from 1 species
GUGUUGUAUGAAAGGAAAGAAGGUUAGGAAGAGGCCCUUGGGCCUGACAACACGCAUACGUGGCAUCUAACCAUCGUUUUUUUU